UACGUAGGGGGCAAGCGUUGUCCGGAAUCAUUGGGCGUAAAGAGCGUGUAGGCGGCUUGGCAAGUCUGGUGUGAAAUCUUGCGGCUCAACCGCAAGCGGUCACUGGAAACUGCCUCGCUAGAGUCCGGAAGAGGAGAGCGGAAUUCCUGGUGUAGCGGUGGAAUGCGCAGAUAUCAGGAAGAACACCCGUGGCGAAGGCGGCUCUCUGGGACGGUACGGACGCUGAGGCGCGAAAGCUAGGGGAGCAAACGGG
rnacentral:rRNA from 1 species